UGGCGGACGGGUGAGUAACGCGUGGGCAACCUGCCUCAUACAGGGGGAUAACAGUUAGAAAUGACUGCUAAUACCGCAUAAGACCACAGUACCGCAUGGUACAGGGGUAAAAACUCCGGUGGUAUGAGAUGGACCCGCGUCUGAUUAGGUAGUUGGUGGGGUAACGGCCUACCAAGCCGACGAUCAGUAGCCGACCUGAGAGGGUGACCGGCCACAUUGGGACUGAGACACGGCCCAA
rnacentral:rRNA from 1 species